GACAGAGGGGGCAAGCGUUGCUCGGAAUUACUGGGCGUAAAGGGCGCGUAGGCGGGAUGGCAAGUCGGUCGUGAAAUCCCUCGGCUCAACCGAGGAACGUCGAUCGAUACUGCUGUUCUUGAGGAUUGCAGAGGAGACUGGAAUUCCCGGUGUAGCGGUGAAAUGUGUAGAGAUCGGGAGGAACACCGGUGGCGAAGGCGGGUCUCUGGGCUAACACUGACGCUCAUGCACGAAAGCGUGGGGAGCAAACAGG
rnacentral:rRNA from 1 species